rnacentral:rRNA from 1 species
GGGUAGUUUGACUGGGGCGGUCUCCUCCUAAAGAGUAACGGAGGAGCACGAAGGUUGGCUAAUCCUGGUCGGACAUCAGGAGGUUAGUGCAAUGGCAUAAGCCAGCUUGACUGCGAGCGUGACGGCGCGAGCAGGUGCGAAAGCAGGUCAUAGUGAUCCGGUGGUUCUGAAUGGAAGGGCCAUCGCUCAACGGAUAAAAGGUACUCCGGGGAUAACAGGCUGAUACCGCCCAAGAGUUCAUAUCGACGGCGGUGUUUGGCACCUCGAUGUCGGCUCAUCACAUCCUGGGGCUGAAGUAGGUCCCAAGGGUAUGGCUGUUCGCCAUUUAAAGUGGUACGCGAGCUGGGUUUAGAACGUCGUGAGACAGUUCGGUCCCUAUCUGCCGUGGGCGCUGGAGAACUGAGGGGGGCUGCUCCUAGUACGAGAGGACCGGAGUGGACGCAUCACUGGUGUUCGGGUUG